ensembl:misc_RNA Metazoa_SRP Metazoan signal recognition particle RNA
GCCGGGCAUGGUGGCUCACGCCUGUAAUCCCAGCACUUUGGGAGGCCGAGGCGGGUGGAUCACCUGAGGUCAGGAGUUCGAGACCAGCCUGGCCAACAUGGUGAAACCCCGUCUCUG